rnacentral:rRNA from 1 species
UACGGAGGGGGGCUAGCGUUGUUCGGAAUUACUGGGCGUAAAGCGUGCGCAGGCGGUCUGCUAAGAGAGGUGUGAAAUCCCCCGGGCUUAACCUGGGAACUGCAUUUGUGACUGCAUGGCUAGAGUUUGGCAGAGGGGGGUAGAAUUCCACGUGUAGCAGUGAAAUGCGUAGAUAUGUGGAGGAACACCGAUGGCGAAGGCAGCCCCCCUGGGUCAAGACUGA